GGCAAUCCUCGCGUGGCUUCACGGUGGUGAAACAAAAGGAUAAAGAGGAUUCUUGAGGAGGGAAAUGGAAGGACAAGGGAGAGCAAUAAGGGUUGGUGCGAAGAUCAUUCGUUAUGAUCCAUCCGGUGCAUUUGACCUCCAAGCGGAACCAAAAAUCUACCCGGGUACGAGCGACCGUAUGCACGCACGCACACACUUAGGUGCAAAGAAACACACUCCUCUGUUAAGAAGGACUGAACGCAUCCCUCUUUACUAAGCAGAAGUUUCACUCAUCCGUCCUGCCUCGUUCUCCCAUCUGUCCAUGUCAUCCCUCACUAUUCCACUUCCACAUCACCCAUCAGUUAGUCACACACACACACACACACACUCACACACACCUCUCUCCACAUCAGCCAUCAGUUUGUCCGACAGACACAUAAAUGUACAUCUCACAUUCACGCACAGACCGACUCCUUUACAUCACACGUCAGAUCACCCCGGAUUCACACACACUCACUCACACACACACACACACACACGAUGCAUCACACAUCAGUUAUAUCUUUUAUGCUGAAGGAGAGAGGGGGUGUCGGCAGGGGUGAGGGGGGAGUUGACAGGGGGAGAAGAGGAAGUACACAGGAAAUACAUUAGUUAUCACUCCCAUGUCUUCUCCACCUUUUCACUUCUUAUCUCCACCCGAUGUCUCAGACCCCAGCCAAGCUGCCUCUCCUUCUCGUCUCCACCUCUUUCCUUUUCUCUUUCUGUUUUUCUCUUCCUCUCUCACACACACACACACGCCUCUAAAAAUGACUUCCAUGCUCCACUUUAGUGUCGGGCCCUGGGAUCUAGAUGACACUUGGCAAGCCGCAGAAGCCGCGAGACAACUGGAUGAAAUAUUUAAAUGAAAGACGGCAGGGGUAGGAAGAGGUGAAGAAAGGAAGCGGAGAAAGAGGGAGAGAAAAAAGAACACGGGACAAAGGACGGAGGGAAGGAGAGAGUGACGAUAUUCAGGCGGCGAGCAGAAUGUGAAAGGAUUUUCUUUUCUUGGCAAAGAGAAGGGGCCCGUGUGACAGGAAGCGCAGAUGAAUUGGCUUUCACCUAUAAAGUAGCCUGUAGAGAAAUAAACCAAUAUAGUAUGAGAUCACAUCGCUUUGUCUUGGAAUCAUCUGCAAGUCUCAGUAUGUGUCAAAGUGCUUUCAGUGCCGUGCCAGCUCAGCUGCUCAGAGGAGGGCAAUGAAUCUAAGACACGACCGAAUGAAAUGUAACUUUGUUACGGCCAUUUUCCGACCUUAGAAUUAAAAGCUUCUGCCUGACUUUUAGGACUUUUAUCUGACUAAAUACUAACGCCAGCAUGGCCACAGUGGCCUUAAUGACAGCAUGCUGAUGUUUAGCAGGGUUACUAUAAUCACAAUAUUAGUUUAACGUGCUAGCACACUAACACUUUAUAUCGCAGAGCAGAAAAUGCAGCAGAGGCUGCUGGGAAUAACGUGAGUUUUGCAGGUAUUUGGUCGUAAAGGAAAUUGAAAAUCUGACCUGCAUCAUGGUGCUAAACUUAUUACAAUUCAUCCUGAGGGGAACAUGAAUGUCUAUACCAAAUGUUACGGCAAUCCGUCCAAUAUUUCGCCCAGAACCACAAAUGUCAGGCUCAUAACGGAACCACAAGAACAGCCAUGGACCGGGAACCACGAACAUCUGCAGGAAAUUCAUACAGUACAUGAAGAUAUAUUUUACUGGAUGAGUCACAAAUUUGGAUUUGCUGGUGACACUAGAUGAAAAGUAAACGAAUCACCAGUCAAUAUAAUUAAUUAUGUGAUAUAUGGAUAUUAAUAUCCCGUGCAGAAACCAUAGACAUUUCUCUAAGUUUGACUUUUUUUGUUUUUGUAACACUAGUUUUACAAAGCAAAUAAAUAUUAUUAUCAAUAAUAGUAAGUAAUUAAUAUUAGUAGUAGUAUAUGGCCAAAUCAAAGAGAUCCAUCCACUAGUUCUGUAGUCUAAAAAGAGACAUUUCAAAGUCACUGUAAGGUUCUAUAAGAAUACAACUGCAAAGCCAAUCAGUGCUCAGCUUGAACCCUUGAAAAUUAAUAACCUUUGUCUCAUUGCUCUGUGAUCGAGAUUAAAGAAGCUUCAAAGAUCAUAAAAUGGUGCAAAAUCAGAUGGUUUGAAAACUGACAGAUAAAUUGAUGUUUGCAUUGAAGACAUUAUGAAUGACACUGAUGCAAACUGCUGCUAAUUUGUGUUAUUUUUAUUCCAGCUUGUAAACCGUAGCCAGUCACACAGCGCACGCUAAUGUCUGUUUGUAUUCGUAACCCGACGUUCAAACUUUCAGGAAUCCGAGUGAAUGAAUGCACGCUUUAAUCGCGGAACAUUAGUAAUCUGAUGCGAACUCUACACUGCUCCUAACAGAGUUUGUGUCUGCUGAUGACUCACCUACUGCCGCAGACACACAAUGAUAACAGCGACUACAUUCAGAGCUCUGAGGACCCGAGCUUGUCGGGGAAACAAAAACAGUAGAUGCAGAAAACAGACCAAAAACACAGUGACAAAGACAACCCCUCAACAGGGAUUAGUAGAAUUUGUUGCAUUUGCAUAGGUUUUAAAUACGCUGUUGUUAACUUAUUUAAAAUGUGUAUCAGGGUAUGUGUGUUAAUAUUUAAUACAUUGAUUAUGUGUAUUAAAAGAAAAUAAGAGCACAGUCUGUUUAUUUUUCCAAAUCAGUGCUCGCAUUUCUGCCUCAGCAGAGUUGUAAAAUUCUAAACAGAACAUGUCCUCAGUUUUAAGAGGUUCUAUCUACAAAAUAAAAAAAUACGAUGAAAUUUUGAUGUUAUAUAUUUAGUGCCUAUUAUUUUGAGAACUUUAAUAUCUCAAACCAGGACUGUAGACAGAUCUUGGCUGGGGCAGUCCAUUGCCUAAAGUGCAGACAUCCAUAUCACAUACAAGAUAGAGCAAGGUGUAUGAGUACUGUUCAUUCAGUUGCUCUCUUUAAUUAUUUUCUCAGCUGCAUGCUGGUUGUGCAAAUGCUUAUUUUAAGGUGCAUGCAUGUGUGUGUUUUGCCUGCACACGUUUGUGUGUGUGUGUGUGUGUGUGUGUGCAUAUCCUGUAUAUAAAUAAUUGUACUGUAUUGUACAUUCGUAAACAUGUGCAUGGGUUUGUGUUUGCACUAUAAUUUAUGCUUCUCUGUGCUGCAUCUCUGUGUGGUUCCCAUCACUGUGAGGUCCUGCUUGCAAAGGACUGUGCUUACCGUGCAGGGCUGGACAUUAGGCCUGUCUGUCAGAAAAAAAAAAACGGCCAGUUUAUUAGUUUGUACAGGCAACGAAGUUAAAUGUGCAGCAACAUAAGUGACUAAUAUUUUACUGUGUCCUGAAGUGUUUGAAUAACUGGGUAAAAAAAAGUCAAUAAAAAUGAAGAUUUG